AGCGGGUUGGUGUAAUAGAUAGCAUAUUCGGCUCAUGCCCGAAAGAUCAUAAGGUGCAAAUCCUGUACCCGCUU
rnacentral:tRNA from 1 species